rnacentral:rRNA from 1 species
AUGUGGUGUGUAGACAGUGUGCAGAGAGCGCAUUUUCUGGACCCCAUCCAUAUGCAUUACCAUUCUCAUCUGUGCUAUACAAGUUUUUCAGUGUCAAAUAAGGAAAUAACAUUUAAAAUAGUGUUAUAUAAGAAAUUCUUUCAAAGAAGUUCUCCUAACCAAGCUACCGUUCAGCGCUCAGGCACCCCAGGUACCUUAGCCAAGAAUACGAGAGCCAUGCUUCUCAAGCCUUACCACUUGGUAGCUCCGCUCGUCCUGCUCCUCGUGGCCGCCGUUCGCUGUAGCGAUGGCAGCGAUGAUGGUCGGCAAUUCGUUCUCAAUGGCUUCGCGGGCGCGAACCUGACGCUCGGCGGAGCGAGCACGGUCAUGCCGAACGGCCUGCUCAUGCUGACCAACGGUGCCACUGGAAAGAUGAAGGGUCAUGCAUUCCACCCGUCCCUGCUGCUGUUCAGCUCCGGUUUGAACGGCACCGGCCCUGUGUGGUCCUUCUCGACCACCUUCUGUUAA